rnacentral:rRNA from 1 species
GAUGAACGCUGGCGGCGUGCUUAACACAUGCAAGUCGAACGGGAAACUUUUCAUUGAAGCUUCGGCAGAUUUGGUCUGUUUCUAGUGGCGGACGGGUGAGUAACGCGUGGGUAACCUGCCUUAUACAGGGGGGUAACAACCAGAAAUGGUUGCUAAUACCGCAUAAGCGCACAGGACCGCAUGGUCCGGUGUGAAAAACUCCGGUGGUAUAAGAUGGACCCGCGUUGGAUUAGCUAGUUGGCAGGGUAACGGCCUACCAAGGCGACGAUCCAUAGCCGGCCUGAGAGGGUGAACGGCCACAUUGGGACUGAGACACGGCCCAGACUCCUACGGGAGGCAGCAGUGGGGAAUAUUGCACAAUGGGGGAAACCCUGAUGCAGCGACGCCGCGUGAAGGAAGAAGUAUCUCGGUAUGUAAACUUCUAUCAGCAGGGAAGAUAGUGACG